GUGAAAUCUCCUUGCUGUAGAAUAUGUGAAUAAGGAGAAGUAACUUGGGUGCUGCAAUGACCUUCAGUGGGUUGAGGGAAAGAGAAAGAAAGGAAUACUGUAAAUAAAAAGUUUUGGACUUUAGCAUACUUAGGAUAAAUCCAAUUUCUGAUGCCACAUCACCAAUGCUUCUUUUAAUCAAAACAGGUCACGUUUAAAAAAACACAUUACCACAUUAUUAACGUAACACGUGG
rnacentral:lncRNA from 1 species